UGCCGAAACCCGGGAUCAAACCAGGGACCUUCAUUUUAACGUUCUCCCAACUGAGCUAUUUCGGC